GCGGCCGGGCUCGGAGCCUUCUCCCCCCCUCCUCACCGGCCUCCCCCCCCUCCCUCCUCCCGGCGGGCGGGGAGAACGGGGAGAAGAUGGCGGCCAUUUUGUGCUUGCGCAGAGGCGAAGGUCGCCCAGAGCAGCCUUACAAAUGUCAAAAAGCGUUUCUCCCUGCCCAUCCCUACAGCCAGCUCUUUAAGGAACGCAGCAAGUGCUUGAACACGUUAGGGGGUUGCGUUAUAACAUCGUCUCAAGGAUUUGGACCUCUUUAUUACAACAUGAAUUACCUUCUUGAGCCUUUUGAUAAAAGAGGAAAACUAUGAAGAAUGCUAGGUGGAAGGAUGCUUUAACUUCUGGAUGCAGUCUCCUCUGACGCAUAACAUUGAAGAGCCAUACAAGUUGCAGUCUGGAUGAGGCAUGGAAAAAUAGAAGUCUGGAGCAAGACAGACAUCCUUUGUUCACAGCUGGGAAAAAGGUUAUCCUUAAAGAAAGUUUUUUAAAAAGUAUUCUUUGCUAUGAUUUGAUGCUGACAUGUAUGAUGUGGAGUACUACAGAUAACAAGGAAGGUGAGAAACAAGAUCCUAUGUCAGAUGGGUUUAUAAAAGAAAGAGACCUCUUUUAUUCCCCUUCCCUAAACCUUGUUGAGUGUUGAAUCACAGAAUCAACUAAUAGUUUAGAAACCUCAAAAGGGAACAGCCAGGUGUCAAAGCCAUCAAGGUAUGUUACCACAUGUAGGAAAAGGGAACAGUGAUAUAUGGAAUGAAUAAAUCGGGAGGUACAGAUGUGAUUUGAACCAAGUUGCAGUUGAUGUUCUCUUAUACCACUAGCACACAUCUGGGGAGCUGUCUUCACAUCAUUACUGGCUAACUUUGGAAGCUGGUUAGAUCUGCCUGGGGUCUGUAACAUACAUCUGCACCUCUACAGCCAGGCAGCGUUACCUUCUGUCUCUUACUUGAGUAUAUAAUACUAGUAAUAUUGGUAGGAGGAAUGUCAUGAAGACACACAGAACCUAUUGAUUAAUCACAGGUCCAGCUGAUCAGUCCAGAUGGGUUAAUAUCUUAAAAAAGAUUAUUUAAUGUACGGUAGGAUGCGAUACUUCAAUUAGUUUUAAGCCAGGAGAGCCAAAUAUCUUGAAAAGGUGUAUGGAGUUUGCACAAAGUUUCUAGGUAAAAGGGAAAGUGUAUUAGGAAAAAAUCAUACUAGUUUUACUAUCUGAGAGUUGGAGGGGUAUAUAGGGAACAAAAUUAAGAUCCCCUCCAAAACAAACAAAACCAACAAAACCUACAACC